rnacentral:rRNA from 1 species
UACGAAGGGGGCUAGCGUUGCUCGGAAUCACUGGGCGUAAAGGGUGCGUAGGCGGGUCUUUAAGUCAGGGGUGAAAUCCUGGAGCUCAACUCCAGAACUGCCUUUGAUACUGAAGAUCUUGAGUUCGGGAGAGGUGAGUGGAACUGCGAGUGUAGAGGUGAAAUUCGUAGAUAUUCGCAAGAACACCAGUGGCGAAGGCGGCUCACUGGCCCGAUACUGACGCUGAGGCACGAAAGCGUGGGAAGCAAACGGG